GUCAAGGUGUGGGAACUUGAAUGGGGUUCAAGGGGCCGGAGGUUCAAAUCCUCUCAUCCCGACCA
rnacentral:tRNA from 1 species